CAAGUACUCCUUCCGUCCGGAAUUACUUGUCAUCAAAAUGGAUGUGUCUAGAACUAAAAUACAUCUAGAUACAUCCAUUUCAAUGACAAGUAUUUUCGGACGGAGGGAGUACAAG
rfam:Triticum aestivum genome assembly, contig: Triticum_aestivum_CS42_TGACv1_scaffold_545346_6DS